UGGGGAAUAUUGCGCAAUGGGCGAAAGCCUGACGCAGCAACGCCGCGUGAGUGAUGAAGGCCUUCGGGUCGUAAAGCUCUGUCGGAGGGAACGAAUGCUCCUGAAGUUAACAGCCUCAGGAGGUGACGGUACCCUCAAAGGAAGCACCGGCUAACUCUGUGCCAGCAGCCGCGGUAAUACAGAGGGUGCAAGCGUUGUUCGGAAUCAUUGGGCGUAAAGGGCGCGUAGGCGGCAUGACAAGUCACUUGUGAAAUCUCUGGGCUUAACCCAGAACGGCCAAGUGAUACUGUCGCGCUAGAGUGCAGAAGGGGCAAUCGGAAUUCUUGGUGUAGCGGUGAAAUGCGUAGAUAUCAAGAGGAACACCUGAGGUGAAGACGGGUUGCUGGGCUGACACUGACGCUGAGGCGCGAAAGCCAGGGGAGCAAACGGGAUUAGAUACCCUGGUAGUCCCUGAGCGGGCUGGCAAGGCGCAU
rnacentral:rRNA from 1 species